rnacentral:rRNA from 1 species
CCCUUAGACGUCCUGGGCCGCACGCGUGCUACACUGACACUUACACCGAGUUUUUCCGGCCCCGAGAGGUGGCUGGUAAUCAGUAAUAGGUGUCGUGAUGGGGAUAGAUCUUUGGAAUUAUUGAUCUUGAACGAGGAAUGCCUAGUAAUCGUAGGUCAUCAGCCUGCGAUGAUUACGUCCCUGCCCUUUGUACACACCGCCCGUCGCUCCUACCGAUUUCGAGUGGUCCGGUGAACCUUUCGGACAGAGAGAGUCUCGUACAAUCUCUGAAAGUCAAGUAAACCACAUCACUUAGAGGAAGGAGAAGUCGUAACA